rnacentral:rRNA from 1 species
GACGAACGCUGGCGGCGUGCUUAACACAUGCAAGUCGAACGGAAAGGCCCUGCUCUUGUGGGGUGCUCGAUUGGCGAACGGGUGAGUAACACGUGAGUAACCUGCCCUUGACUUUGGGAUAACUUCAGGAAACUGGGGCUAAUACCGGAUAGAAGCUCCUGCUGCAUGGUGGGGGUUGGAAAGUUUCGGCGGUUGGGGAUGGACUCGCGGCUUAUCAGCUUGUUUGUGUGGUAGUGGCUUACCAAGGCUUUGACGGGUAGCCGGCCUGAGAGGGUGACCGGCCACAUUGGGACUGAGAUACGGACCAGACUCCUACGGGAGGCAGCAGUGGGGAAUAUGGCACAAUGGGCGGAAGCCUGAUGCAGCAACGCCGCGUGCGGGAUGACGGCCUUCGGGGUGUAAACCGCUUUCGCAUGUGACGAAGCGUGCGUGAUGGUAAUGGGUAAAGAAGCACCGGCUAACUACGUG